GGUUUGAGUGCUUUAUCGCAACAAGUUCACGUAAGCACAUCAUCUUCAUGUCUUAUGACAUCUCUCUGUGUGUGUCUGAUAAUAUGCAUGCAACAUCUUAUCCUUUUUGUGUAGGAGGACGUUUUACUUUACACAACAUGUGGAACACCAAAUUAUGUUGCUCCAGAGGUGACAAAAAAUAAAGGGUAUCAUGGAGCUAAAGCAGAUGUGUGGUCAUGUGGUGUUAUACUCUGUCUUAAUGGUUGGUUACUUGCCUUUUGAUGACUCCGAUUUGAUGUAUCUGUAUAGUCAGAUAUUCAAGGAAAACCUCAAUUUUCCUUCAUCGUUCUGACCAGGUGCAAGGGUCUUAAUCAAGAGAUUUCUUGAUCCUAAUCCGUCGACCGUACGUGACUUUUCCUUUUACCCUCGUUUUUGAUGUUCUCUUGAAGGUGUAUGCAGAUAUAGGCUUCAUUCUUCAUUUCUUCUGAUUAAACCAGACGAUAACAAUCGCGAGAUUCUCGAGAACCAGUGGUUUAAGAAAGGAUAUAAGCCGCCUAGGUUCAAGAUAGCCGAUGUUAUCCUUGAUGAUCUGGAUUCCUUUUUCGGUGAAUCAUGGGUAAGAGUUGUGUUUUUUUCCCAUAUGGAAUGUGGUUUUGUAGUGUUGGUGGUGGUGCAAAUGGUAUGAUGAGUCUGUGUUCAUGGUUUCUGUAGCAGGAUUCUCAAAACCUCGUCUACGAAUGGCGGGAAGAAAGGCCCGCACUACCUAUCAUGAUGAAUGCAUUCGAACUUAUCUCUACAUCUCAGCCUCAGGGUCUUUAACCCUGCAUGUUCCCAUCUUCAUAUUUUUCAGGUAGCUCCGUCGGUUUACAUGGUCGAAUUUUGAAAGUCCGGAGGAGAUACCCUGGAAUUUCACGAGGUACUAAUCCUUCGAUAACCAUCGUCGGUAACUUAUCGUGUACAAGCAUGCAGUGGAUGUCAAGUUCGUAUUCCAUGAUCUGAAUUUCUUAAAUUUACAGUUUUAUAAUAAUCUCUCCAUCGGGCUAAAAGAUAUGGUAUGGACGGAGGACGGAAAGUGGAA